rnacentral:rRNA from 1 species
GAUGAACGCUGACAGAAUGCUUAACACAUGCAAGUCUACUUGAAUUUGGGUUUUUUAACUUCGAUUUGGGUGGCGGACGGGUGAGUAACGCGUAAAGAACUUGCCUCACAGCUAGGGACAACAUUUGGAAACGAAUGCUAAUACCUGAUAUUAUGAUUAUAGGGCAUCCUAGAAUUAUGAAAGCUAUAUGCGCUGUGAGAGAGCUUUGCGUCCCAUUAGCUAGUUGGAGAGGUAACGGCUCACCAAGGCGAUGAUGGGUAGCCGGCCUGAGAGGGUGAACGGCCACAAGGGGACUGAGACACGGCCCUUACUCCUACGGGAGGCAGCAGUGGGGAAUAUUGGACAAUGGACCGAGAGUCUGAUCCAGCAAUUCUGUGUGCACGAUGACGUUUUUCGGAAUGUAAAGUGCUUUCAGUUGGGAAGAAAAGAAUGACGGUACCAACAGAAGAAGUGACGGCUAAAUACGUGCCAGCAGCCGCGGUAAUACGUAUGUCACGAGCGUUAUCCGGAUUUAUUGGGCGUAAAGCGCGUCUAGGUGGUUAUGUAAGUCUGAUGUGAAAAUGCAGGGCUCAACUCUGUAUUGCGUUGGAAACUGUGUAACUAGAGUACUGGAGAGGUAAGCGGAACUACAAGUGUAGAGGUGAAAUUCGUAGAUAUUUGUAGGAAUGCCGAUGGGGAAGCCAGCUUACUGGACAGAUACUGACGCUGAAGCGCGAAAGCGUGGGUAGAAAACAGG